UACAGAGGGUGCGAGCGUUGUCCGGAAUCACUGGGCGUAAAGGGCGCGUAGGCGGCCUGAUAAGUCGGGGGGUGAAAUCCUGUGGCUCAACCACAGGGCUGCCUCCGAGACUGUCGGGCUCGAGCACAGUAGAGGCAGGUGGAAUUCCCGGUGUAGCGGUGGAAUGCGUAGAGAUGUGGAGGAACACCGAUGGCGAAGGCAGCCCCCUGGGCUAAGAUUGACGCUCAUGCACGAAAGCGUGGGGAGCAAACAGG
rnacentral:rRNA from 1 species